rnacentral:rRNA from 1 species
UGGCGAACGGGUGAGUAACACGUGGGUAAUCUGCCCUGCACUCUGGGAUAAGCCUGGGAAACUGGGUCUAAUACUGGAUAUGACCUUUCUCCUUAUGGGGUUUGGUGGAAAGUUUUUCGGUGUAGGAUGAGCCCGCGGCCUAUCAGCUUGUUGGUGGGGUGAUGGCCUACCAAGGCGACGACGGGUAGUCGGCCUGAGAGGGUGAUCGGCCACAUUGGGACUGAGAUACGGCCCAG